GAUGCUGAACAGCGUGUUCCUGACCAUGCCAGUUUCUUCCUCCGCGCGGAGGGCUCAGCUCCGCCUGCAGCACCGUGGGCAGGAGGCAGACUGGUGCGGCAUUGUUCCUGGGCUUGGCACCGACACGCUGCAUAAUGUGAUAAUCCCUGUGGGUGGAAUCUGCUCUGUCCCUGGCCAAAAAGCUGUACUUGGAGUUUUAAUAUGUCCAAUAAUUGGACCUGCUACUCCUUGUGGAUUCAAGUGAGACUGCACAGACAUCUACCAGCAUGAUUUGCUGCAAUCAGGAAGUUCAAGCUUGGCUUCAGAAUUGUGCUCAGGGCUGGAACUCAGUAUAUCAAGUCUCAACUUGGAAACGAAUCAUCGUUUGUACAAAAUUGCAAAGAAAUCCAGUUGGCUAGAGGUUUCUGCACAAGUGCAGGUCCCCACAGAGCCGGGGCUUGGCUGCUGCAGCAGGAGGACCAGAGACACCAAGCAGGCUGUGAUGGCAGCUGGGGAACCGAACUCUCCCAAUUUCGCUGCACCAUGUGAAAGCAAUGUGAAAAAUACAACUGCUUUUCAAGAUAAGUAGUGAAAUGUCCCUGCCUUUUAAUGUUAUUCUCUUAAGUGGUGCUAUUGGAUGCUGAAACAUGUUAAAAUGUGUGGGAGGAGGGUUUGCUUAAAGCUCCUCACUUCUGUUCUCCAGGGCUGCUGUUCACACUCUCUGUUCUGAGCUGUCCUGGUGCACCACCAGCCUGGUUUACUGGAUCUCUUUUCCAUGCACCCUCUCUGCUCUCCAGAACUGAAGAUUUCAUCCUGGAUUCUCUGGGAGCACUCAGCACAGCUGUGCAACAAGAGAAGUAUCUACAGGUCAAGGAACCGUGUUGUCUUCACGAGCUGCCUGCAGCAGCCCGUGUGUGAGCGCAGUUUGGAGAAAGCUGUGGCCUUUGCCUGCACAAUAAUCUCAGCAGAUGUGAGCAUCCCAGAACUGAUUUUCAACCGGACUAAUAUUCUGGGUGAGAUUCAACAUACUUGCUGUUGAUAAGAGGUCUCCACUCACUGCCUGUUUUCCUGUUUGAGCAACAAAUAGCUCCAGCUGUUAUUUCUGUUUAGAAGACCUUCUGGCACUAUGUCCCUCUCUUUUAUCAUUCAUUGGUUACUUGAGUGUAACAUCACUUACAGUACCUUAAAUAACACAGAAGUGGAGGAGCAAUCCCUAUAAGAACUGUUCUUGAGCCAGGACGUUUCUGGAACCGAAUCCUCUUCAGCUUUCAGCGGAAAAGACUAGCUGCAAACUUGCUUCUGGAAAACCAAAGUGUGAAAAUGGAAGUUUCCCUGUUCUUUAGCUCUUUCACUUCCCUGUCCUUUCCCUGCUCUUUAUCAUGUUGGUGCUACAGACCCUUUGCAAGCAUUCAGCAAGAAAUAUGUUUCCUGGAACAGUAUUUAUUCUCAAUAAGUUUUUACAUCAA